UGCGGGUGCAGCUGAUUGAGAACGCCCUUGGUGUACCUCAACAAGGUCAUUGACGGCUGCAUUGGGCAAGUAGCCGCCAAGCCCGAGUCCAUGAAGCCCUGCUCCAGCGCCAAGGACAGCAUCAUCAUUGAUGCAGAGGAGAAGGGAUCCGUGGCAGGCAAGGUCCGUGGUGGCAGGCUCGGUAUCCGGCCUUGGCGUCUUACAUUGGCCCCGCAGCCAUGCGGGGGCGGCGGCAUUGCUGUUUAGCAUCGGCUACAAAACUGGCACCGAGUGAAAGUGUAUCUAAAGAAAAGAAAAUAAAAACCAAGUCAUGGAUGUUACAAGCUGAGGGAGCUUUGUUUCAUACGGUCAUGGGCCACCUGGAGUCGGUUGUCAAGAUGAAGUGGCUAGCUGGCUGGCUGGCUCUACAGGGUGUGAUGAUCAGAUGUAUCCGGGUUUUGUUGAGGAGAAGUCGGGGGAAAUCCCAAAUUAACUGGCCACCUCCAUGAGUCUUUGCUGCAAUCUUGUUAUGAACAUGUGGAUAAAUCGAAUCAACAGCCAAUGAAUGUAUGUAUAGGCUGAUAAAAUUAUGAUGUGUCUUUGGAAGAUGCAAACAGACCAAAUGUUUCCAGUUGAUGAUCUCAUAAUA